ensembl:lncRNA
AUUAAAAUUCGCAUGACGAGGGCAAAAGAUGAAUUCUGUUUGAUGCGGAGCGACACUGUAGCCUAUAAACUAAACAUCAUGUCAGCUUCUCUGGUUGUGAAAAAACUGUCUGUAUCACCAGGUGUGAGAUUGGGGCACGCACAAGCAUUGCUCUGGACGCCAGCCAAAUACCCCAUCGACAGAGUAUGUGUGAAAAACGUCUCAAUUCCUGUAGGCUCACGUGUUUGUAAUCAAGAAAAGUCUUUUCAGCGUAUAAAGAGCACAAGUGUGUAUGGGGACACAGGAUGAAUGGAACUACUUUUGUUAUUGCACUUUUGAUGGAAAGUGACUUUCUAGAGAUAAAAUGUCACUUUUUUCACCUUAUCACACUUUCUCAGCUACUUUUACAUUUUAAUGUAAACAAUCAUAUUUCGUAAUAUUUCAGGUCAGAAACAUUUCAUAGUACUAUAUUAUGUGUAACUAUGUGAAAAAUAUCAUAUUGGAGUAGGUCGGGCAAUUGAUUAUAUGAGUUUGUUAGAAAAAUCACUUUCCUUUGCUCCUAGCGCCUUCUCAAUCGCUGUAUAGCGUUUUGAGCGGACAAAGAGCACAAGUGUGCAUGGGGACACUGGAUGAAUGGGAACUAGUUUUGUUAUUGCACAUUUGAUGAAAAGUGACUUUCUAGACAUAAAAUGUCACUUUUUUCACCUUAUCACACUGUAACAUCAACUUUUACAUUUUAAUGUAAACAAUCAUAUUUCGUAAUAUUUUAGGUCAGAAACAUUCCAUAGUACUAUAUUAUGUCUAAAUAUGUGAAAAGAAUCAAAUUGGAGUAGGUCGGGCAACUGAUUAUAUGAGUUUGUUAGAAAAACCACUUUCCUUUGCUCCUAGCGCCUUCUCGUUCGCUCUAUAGCGUUUUGAGCGGAUAAAGAGCACAAGUGUGCAUGGGGACACUGGAUGAAUGGGAAUUAGUUUUGUUAUUGCACUUUUGAUGAAAAAUGACUUUCUAGACAUAAAAUGUCACUUUUUUCACCUUAUCAUGCUUUUUCAUCAACUUUUGCAUUUUAAUGUAAACAAUCAUAUUUCGUAAUAUUUUGGGUCAGAAACAUGUCAUAGUACUAUAUUAUGUCUAAAUAUGUGAAAAGAAUCAAAUUGGAGUAGGUCGGGCAACUGAUUAUAUGAGUUUGUUAGAAAAACCACUUUCCUUUGCUCCUAGCGCCUUCUCGUUCGCUCUAUAGCGUUUUGAGCGGAUAAGAGCACAAGUGUGCAUG